CGGGGGGGCUAGCGUUGUUCGGAAUUACUGGGCGUAAAGGGCGCGUAGGCGGUCUGCUAAGUUGGAUGUGAAAACUCUGGGCUUAACCCAGAGCCUGCAUUCAAUACUGACAGGCUAGAGUUCUGGAGGGGAUAGCGGAAUUCCUGGUGUAGCGGUGAAAUGCGUAGAUAUCAGGAGGAACACCGGUGGCGAAGGCGGCUAUCUGGACAGAGUCUGACGCUGAGGCGCGAAAGCUAGGGGAGCAAACAGGAUUAGAUACCCUGGUAGUCCUAGCCCUAAACGAUGGAUACUUGGUGUAACUGGGAUUGAAUCCAGUUGUGCCGAAGCUAACGCAUUAAGUAUCCCGCCUGGGGAGUACGGUCGCAAGGCUG
rnacentral:rRNA from 1 species